CGCAAAAGCAGUCCCGACCUGGUUGUAUUAAUAAUAAAGGCUGUAAGGAUCAGCCUUUUGAACGGUCCAGCCGAGAACUAACCACAGAGCGCGUUUUAGUGGAGUGGUACUUAUUUUUAAAUAAGCUGGACUGUACUGCUGCCAUCUCGGCUCACUGCAACCUCCCUGCCUGAUUCUCCUGCCUCAGCCUGCCGAGUGCCUGCGAUUGCAGGAGCGCGCCGCCACGCCUGACUGGUUUUCGUAUUUUUUUGGUGGAGAAGGGGUUUCGCUGUGUUGGCCGGGCUGGUCUCCAGCUCCUAACCGCGAGUGAUCUGCCAGCCUCGGCCUCCCGAGGUGCCGGGAUUGCAGACGGAGUCUGGUUCACUCAGUGCUCAAUGGUGCCCAGGCUGGAGUGCAGUGGCGUGAUCUCGGCUCGCUACAACCUCCACCUCCCAGCCGCCUGCCUUGGCCUCCCAAAGUGCCGAGAUUGCAGCCUCUGCCUCGCCACCACCCCGUUUGGGAAGUGAGGAGCGUCUCUGCCUGGCCACCCAUCGUCUGGGACGUGAGGAGCCCCUCUGCCUGGCUGCCCAGUCUGGAAAGUGAGGAGCGUCUCUGCCCGGCCGCCAUCCCAUCUAGGAAGUGAGGAGCGCCUCUUCCCGGCCUCCCAUCGUCUGAGAUGUGGGGAGCGCCUCUGCCCCGCUGCCCCGUCUGGGAUGUGAGGAGCGCCUCUACCCGGCCGCGACCCCGUCUGGGAGGUGAGGAGCGUCUCUGCCCGGCUGCCCCGUCUGAGAAGUGAGGAGUCCCUCCGCCCGGCAGCUGCCCCGUCUGAGAAGUGAGGAGCCCCUCCGUCCGGCAGCCGCCCCGUCUGGGAAGUGAGGAGCCCCUCCGCCCGGCAGCCACCCCGUCUGGGAGGGAGGUGGGGGUCAGCCCCCCACCCGGCCAGCCGCCCCGCCCGGGAGGUGAGGGGCGCCUCUGCCCGGCUGCCCCUACUGGGAAGUGAGGAGCCCCUCUGCCCAGCCAGCCGCCCCGUCCGGGAGGGAGGUGGGGGGGUCAGCCCCCCGCCCGGCCAGCUGCCCCGUCCGGGAGGUGAGGGGCGCCUCUGCCCGGCCGCCCCUACUGGGAAGUGAGGAGCCCCUCUACCCGGCCACCACCCCGUCUGGGAGGUGUAUCGAACAGCUCAUUGAGAACAGGCCAUGAUGACAAUGGCGGUUUUGUGGAAUACAAAGGGGGGAAAGGUGGGGAAAAGAUUGAGAAAUCGGAUGGUUGCCGCGUCUGUGUAGAAAGAGGUAGACAUGGGAGACUUUUCAUUUUGUUCUGUACUAAGAAAAAUUCUUAUCCUGUUGAUCUGUGACCUUACCCCCAACCCUGUGCUCUCUGAAACAUGUGCUGUGUCCACUCAGAGUUAAAUGGAUUAAGGGCGGUGCAAGAUGUGCUUUGUUAAACAGAUGCUUGAAGGCAGCAUGCUCGUUAAGAGUCAUCACCACUCCCUAACCUCAAGGACCCAGGGACACAAACAUUGCGGAAGGCCGCAGGGUCCUCUGCCUAGGAAAGCCAUAGACCUUUGUUCACUUGUUUAUCUGCUGACCUUCCCUCCACUAUUGUCCUAUGACCCUGCCAAAUCCCCCUCUGCGAGAAACACCCAAGAAUGAUCAAU
rnacentral:lncRNA from 1 species